rnacentral:lncRNA from 1 species
UAUAUGGAUUUGGUUCAUGAACUUGGAUAUGGUUCAUGAAUUUGGCAUAUGGACUUGGUUCAUGAACUUCGAUAUGGUUCAUGGAUUUGGCAUAUGGAUUUGGUUCAUAAACUUGGAUAUGGUUCACGAAUUUGGUUUAUAGAUUUGGUUCAUGAACUUGGAUAUGGUUCAUGGGUUUGGUGUAUGGACUUGGUUCAUAAACUUGGAUAUGGUUUAUGAAUUUGGUGUAUGGAUUUGGUUCAUGAACUUGGAUAUGGUUCAUGGGUUCGGUGUAUGGAUUUGGUUCAUGAACUUGGAUAUGGUUCAUGGGUUUGGUGUAUGGAUUUGGUUCUUGAACUUGGAUAUGGUUCAUGGGUUUGGUGUAUGGAUUUAGUUCAUGAACUUGGAUAUGGUUCAUGGGUUCGGUAUAUGGAUUUGGUUCAUGAACUUGGAUAUGGUUCAUGAGUUCGGUGUAUGGAAUUGGUUCAUGAACUUGAAUAUGGUUCAUGGGUUAGGUGUAUGGAUUUGGUUCAUGAACUCGGAUAUGGUUCAUGGGUUUGGUGUAUGGAUUUGGUUCAUGGUUCAAGAAAUUUGUGUUUAGUUUAACGACUUUUCAGUCGUUUGGAUUGGGUUUAGUUUAACGACUUUUCGGUCGUUUGAAAUUUGGGUUGUUUAGUUUAACGACUUUGCGGUCAUUUGGAUUUGGGUUUAGUUUAACGAUUUUUCGGUCGUUUGAUUUGAUUGUUUAGUUUAACGACUUUGCGGUCGUUUGAUUUGAUUGUUUAGUUUAACGACUUUACGGUCGUAGGUUUUAUUUGUGGACUUUGGGUUUUGGCAUUUUAUUUGUGGACUUUGGAUUUUGGGAUUUAUUUAUGGACUUUGGGUUUUAGAAUUUAUUUGUGAACUUUGGUUUUGAAAUUU